UCAUAGGAGAGCUGUUCCAGGCCUCUUCAAGGCUUGGACUUGCUUAUCCUCUGGACUUCCUCCAGAAUGUCAACAUCUUUCUUGUGUUCAGGGCCUCAGAGCUGGACACAGAAUUCCAGAUAUGUGUCAGAACGUAAUACACAGUACAAUGCAUAUGACUUGUUAGGAAGAAAAGAAGUUAUAAAGAAAUGUGUGUAUGAGACACUAGAGAGAAAUUUGUCCUGUUUAACAUACCUGCAUUCAGCUUCUUGGCAAAUAUUUCCUUCAGUGUAGAAUCAGCCUGCUUUCAGGAAUAUGAACUAUGUCUGGAUUAGCAGAUGGAACAGCAGCAAAGCACAGGAUUGCAAAUGUCUAAACAGUUUCAUUUUUAGCAUUUUCUUAGCAUGGCUUUGGACAGCAAGCGUUAGCAUCCUCUCAGCUAAGGCCUAGACAUCCUUCAGCAUUUCAUAAGACUGUUUCUAAUAGACAGUUUAGCUGUAGCCACCCUACUUUAGGCCAGUUUACACAUGAAAACAUGAGUCAGCUGUGAGCCUAAGCCUCAAGGCAGUCUCCAGUCUCUUCCAUGUAGAAACAUAUAUAUCACUAUCUGUACAUACACGAUUCAUCCAUGGCAAUGUGGUUUCUCAGUGUUCUGAUCUAUCUUACUCAUAAACCCUACUGGCAGUUGUGAGUUCAGGAAAGAUCUGCCACUCUGUCUUUUAUAGCAGUGAAGCUAAAGGAUGCAAUUCACCAAGAACUAAAAUAUGAAGAAGAAUUGGAGGAAAAGGCACUACCCAUAACACAGAGACACCCCACAAGUCAAAAUGCAAAUCCUCAGCAGCCUCUGUGGGGAAGGCUACUGAGAUGCUGGUGAGACCUCACCAACAACUCACAAAUCUGGGGCAGAAUGAGCAGUAUUAAACAGAACAGGAUUGCAGAGAAACACUGGUUUCAUAUCCCAAAAAGAAAAAAAAAUACUUUCUUCACAAAAUUGAGAUUGCUGCAAUUUUCAUGCAGUUUAGAGGCAUAAAAGUCUCCCCAGAGACAGUCAUUCAUUGUGCACUUCAUACCACCUUGCCGAGCUGAACACUGAUGAAACACUAAUCCAGCAUGUUUCUAAACAGGAAGAACAGGAAGAGUACAUGAGCACUGACCUGUUGCAGAAGAAAUAUUCAGGACCAUGGAAAAGUAUGCUAGAGAGACACAUCACCAGAAAUUCAGCUGAUGAUUCAGCCAUACCAACACAGCUUUAAUUUAACUUCGAGACCAAUGAUAUAACCAGUUCUAGGCAAUGUGCAGAGACAGCUGCAGCUUACUCCCACCACAACCAAGAGGAAGCAAAACAUGAGGGGGAAGAAGUGAGCCAAGUGUUGGUAAUAUGCUAUAAAACACAUUUGAAGCCAGUUGUUUACACAGAAAUUAAACAAACAAACAAACUAAGCUACUAUUACUUGAAAUGUACAAUAGUUGAUGCAAAGGCAGUACCAUUGCCACAAAACAUUACUAAAACCAACCAGCAGUUCAGCUGAAAUGCUGUGUCUGACUGUCCACACCAUGAAAGGUAAAGACAACAGUCCUUUCGUGUCCUCUCUAGCAGCCUAACAGAGAUGUACUGUAAGGAGACCAAUUCUUCCGGCACAUACUGUAGUCAGAUGAAGGCUCUCACAAGAGUUAGUAAGAAACUCAAACUACAGACAUCUCUCAGGUCUGGUGGAGCUGCUGAGGAAGGAAGCGGGAAGAACAGAAAGCCCAGACACCCUCAAACUCAUGGAAAGCAGAGUUGGCAGCUGUGUUUUUUCAUUUUUGCAGUCUUUAGCAUUUUUUAUGAUGGUGGAAAGCCCUCAAAAAUGUCUUGGAUAUUUGGGAAACCUCCCAUCAGGGAACACAGCCCUGUGAAGAAGUCACUGUGUGUUAAUCCCUAAGAUAUACUGCUUGAUUUGUCUGGAACUAAAAAAGUCUCUGCUUGCAAUGUUGAAAGUAGGUUCUGGCAUGCUGAACCACCCAGUCCCUUGCAAUCUGCACUACGUCUUUUGCCAGGUACUGCUGAAGGAAAAAAAAAAAAGCUCCAGACAUCAGCCUGCCCUCAAAGCUAGUGCAGCGAUAACAGAUAAAGACAAAACAGGACUUUCAGACACCAGGCCUGCAGCUGGCAACAAUUAUUGUCUGAGAAGAUAGCAGAGGAUGUCUUUAUUGAGCUUAACAGAGCCAGGAGCAGAGCACUAGUCUAAAUGCAAAGAAGCUGGUUCUCAGGAGAAGAGAAAUCUGCACUGUCAGAAAUCUCUGGGGCCCUGGGAACUUCCAAAUGGUCCUUGAGAAAGACAAAGUACUUAAAGUCAAUGUAAGAAGUUAUAAGAAUAGCCAAGUGCAGCAUCUGCAGUGUAUAAGCAAUAGAUGAAGUUAGAGAGGGAAUGAAGACUAGGUGGUGAGCCAGCCUUGCAGCACCACCUCUGUUCUAAGCAGCAGGGAUUGCAAAAGGUGCCUAAGCCUCAGGAUGAAGUAGAAGAGUGACACUGCACCAAAUCUAGCAAUUCUCAUCUUCUGUUUACACAGCAAAAGAAUGACUUUCUACUGAAACAGAAAUACUAACUAUGCUGCAGAGGACUGCCCCAAAAAUCAUAUCAUAUGCUUGAAGACAUUGUCCAAACACUUCUUGAACUCUGUCAGGCUUGGUGCAGAGAGCAUUACCCUAGGGAACCUGUUCCAGUGCCCAACCACCCUCCAUGUGAAGAACAUUUUAAUAACAUCUAACCUAAACAUUCCCUGACAUGACUUCAGGCCUUUCAGACCCUCAGGUCCUUUCACUGGUCACCACAGAAAAGAGAUCAGUGUCUGCCACUCUGCUUCUCCUGGUGAAGAUGCUGUAGACUGCAAUGUGGAGGUUUGUGAAUUACAAGAGCCGUUCUGUAGGUGUGAGUUACUUGAGCUUCUACCUCUUCCAGGAUGAAGUGGUCACCUGCAUCAAUAAACCUCCAGAGCUAUUUUUGCACCCAGCACGCCUCCUCCCAAGAGGAGAGAGAGCUCCAGCGUCACACCAGUACGGCAUGCCGGUAUGUGCCCAGGCAGGUGGAGG